UACAGAGGUCCCAAGCGUUGUUCGGAUUUACUGGGUGUAAAGGGUGCGUAGGUGGCGGGGUAAGUCUGGUGUGAAAGCUCCGAGCUCAACUCGGAAAAGCAUUGGAAACUAUUCCGCUAGAGGGUCGGAGGGGAGACUGGAAUUCUCGGUGUAGCAGUGAAAUGCGUAGAUAUCGAGAGGAACAACAGUGGCGAAGGCGAGUCUCUGGACGACUUCUGACACUGAGGCACGAAAGCUAGGGGAGCAAACAGG
rnacentral:rRNA from 1 species